ACGAACGCUGGCGGCGUGCUUAACACAUGCAAGUCGAACGGAAAGGCCCUGCUUUUGUGGGGUGCUCGAGUGGCGAACGGGAGAGUAACACGUGAGUAACCUGCCCUUGACUUUGGGAUAACUUCAGGAAACUGGGGCUAAUACCGGAUAGGAGCUCCUGCUGCAUGGUGGGGGUUGGAAAGUUUCGGCGGUUGGGGAUGGACUCGCGGCUUAUCAGCUUGUUGGUGGGGUAGUGGCUUACCAAGGCUUUGACGGGUAGCCGGCCUGAGAGGGUGACCGGCCACAUUGGGACUGAGAUACGGCCCAGACUCCUACGGGAGGCAGCAGUGGGGAAUAUUGCACAAUGGGCGGAAGCCUGAUGCAGCAACGCCGCGUGCGGGAUGACGGCCUUCGGGUUGUAAACCGCUUUCGCCUGUGACGAAGCGUGAGUGACGGUAAUGGGUAAAGAAGCACCGGCUAACUACGUG
rnacentral:rRNA from 1 species